rnacentral:rRNA from 1 species
AUUGAACGCUGGCGGCAUGCCUAACACAUGCAAGUCGAACGAGUGGCGGACGGGUGAGUAAUGUCUGGGAACCUGCCCGAUGGAGGGGGCUAACUACUGGAAACGGUAGCUAAUACCGCAUACCAUCAGAUGUGCCCAGAUGGGAUUCGCUUGUUGGUGGGGUAACGGCUCACCAAGGCGACGAUCCCUAGCGGGUCUGAGCGGAUGACCAGCCACACGGGAACUGGGACACGGUCCAGACUCCUACGGGAGGCAGCAGGGGGGAAUAUGGCAAAAGGGGCGCAAGCCUGAUGCAGCCAUGCCGGGUGUAUGAAGAAGGCCUUCGGGUUGUAAAGUACUUUCAGCGGGGAGGCGUUACCCGCAGAAGAAGCACCGGCUAACUCCGUGCCAGCAGCCGCGGUAAUUC